rnacentral:rRNA from 1 species
UACGUAGGUGGCGAGCGUUGUCCGGAUUUACUGGGCGUAAAGAGCGCGCAGGCGGUCGUUCAAGUCGCGUGUGAAAGCCCCCAGCUCAACUGGGGAGGGUCACGCGAUACUGAUCGACUCGAAGGCAGGAGAGGGAAGUGGAAUUCCCGGUGUAGUGGUGAAAUGCGUAGAUAUCGGGAGGAACACCAGUGGCGAAGGCGACUUCCUGGCCUGUUCUUGACGCUGAGGCGCGAAAGCUAGGGGAGCAAACGGG